rnacentral:rRNA from 1 species
CAUUGGCUCAACCAANGUAUGCUUUGGAAACUGUUAGACUNGAGUGCAGAAGGGGAGAGUGGAAUUCCAUGUGUAGCGGUGAAAUGCGUAGAUAUAUGGAGGANCACCGGUGGCGAAAGCGGCUCUCUGNUCUGUCACUGACGCUGAGGCUCGAAAGCGUGGGUAGCGAACAGGAUUAGAUACCCUGGUAGUNCACGCCGUAAACGCUGAGUGCUAGGUGUUAGGUCCUUUCCGGGACUUAGUGCCGACGCUAGCGCAUUAAGCACUCCGCCUGGGGAGUACGACCGCAAGGUUGAAACUCAAAGGAAUUGACGGGGGCCCGCACAAGCGGUGGAGCAUGUGGUUUAAUUCGAAGCAACGCGAAGAACCUUACCAGGUCUUGACAUCCCGAUGCCCGCUCUAGAGAUAGAGUUUUUCCUCGGAACAUCGGAGACAGGUGGUGCAUGGUUGUCGUCAGCUCGUGUCGUGAGAUGUUGGGUUAAGUCCCGCAACGAGCGCAACCCUUAUUGUUAGUUGCCAUCAUUAAGUUGGGCACUCUAGCGAGACUGCCGGUAAUAAACCGGAGGAAGGUGGGGAUGACGUCAAAUCAUCAUGCCCCUUAUGACCUGGGCUACACACGUGCUACAAUGGUUGGUACAACGAGUCGCAAGCCGGUGACGGCAAGCUAAUCUCUGAAAGCCAAUCUCAGUUCGGAUUGUAGGCUGCAACUCGCCUACAUGAAGUCGGAAUCGCUAGUAAUCGCGGAUCAGCACGCCGCGGUGAAUACGUUCCCGGGCCUUGUACACACCGCCCGUCACACCACGAGAGUUUGUAACACCCAAAGUCGGU